GGAAGGAUCAUUUACAACAAAUGAACUUAAAUUUAAAAACAAAAACAUAACUGAAUUAGGUUGAUAAAAUCUAAAUUUUUAACGAUGGAUGUCUAGGUUCCCAUAACGAUGAAGAACGCAGCGAAAAUGCGAUAUGCAGUGUGAAUUGCAGAACCACGAAUCAUCGGAUAUUUGAAUGUAUGUAACGCUGGCAAAACCAGCAUGUUUGGUUCAGUGUGCGCAACCAACUAACCUAAACUAAAUGUAGGAGAAGUUCUCCUAUUAAGCACAUGCUCUCAGCAGCAGUCACUUUCGGGUGAGCUGAUGAUUGACAAACUGACUUAUUUGCACCUGAACUCAAGCAAGAUGACCCGCUGGACUUAAGCAUAUUAUUAAGCGGAGGAAAAGAAAUUAACAAAGAUUACCUUAGUAAGGGCGACUGAACCGGUAAAAGCUCGAAAUUGGAAUCAGAAAUUCAAAGAAUCUCUGAAUUGUAAUCAGGACAACUUAAAUACUGCAAGCGGAUUAAUAGGCUCGAAAGCCUGACCAAAGAGGGUGCUAGUCCCGUAAAUCUGUAGGCAGAACAAAGUUGGAUCCACAAGAGUCGGGUUGCUUGGAACUGCAGCCCUAAGCGGGAGAUAUGAUUCUUCCAAAGCUAAAUAUGGAUGGGAAACCGAUAGCGAACAAGUACUGUGAAGGAAAGAUGAAAAGGACUUUGAAAAGAGAGUGAAAAGAUCUGAAAUCGUUAAGAAGGAAGCGGUAAAACUGACUUACGUACUGAAAGGUCAAUGUGGUAAUACCAUAGAGAUCUUACCAGAACGUUGGACAAAAUCAAUUUUAAUGCGUCAAAAAAGGUGCAAGCCGGAAAGGGCGUAAUAAGAUUGAGGGACUACGGUGAUUUUGUCAAAAUGGUUUUUACCGUCCCGUCUUGAAACACGGACCAAGGAGUCUAUCCUAUAUGCGAGUGUGCGGGUGAAAAACCCAUACGCGAAAUGAAAGUGAAAGGUGCGCAGCGCAAGCAGCAGCAUCGACCGACCUAGUAAGAAAGGUUUGAGUAAGAGCAUAUCUGAUAGGACCCGAAAGAUGGUGAACUAUGCCUGAGUAGGGUGAAGUCAGGGGAAACCCUGAUGGAGGCUCGAAGCGGUGCUAACGUGCAAAUUGCUCGUCAAACUUGGGUAUAGGGGCGAAAGACUAAUCGAACCAUCUAGUAGCUGGUUCCCUC
rnacentral:misc_RNA from 1 species